UACGUAGGGGGCGAGCGUUGUCCGGAGUUACUGGGCGUAAAGCGCACGCAGGCGGUCUGGUAAGUUUGGAGUGACAAUUCUCGGCUUAACUGAGAAGGGUCUUCGAAGACUGCCCGACUUGAGGGCUUACGAGGGACACGGAAUUCCGGGUGGAGUGGUGAAAUGCGUAGAGAUCCGGAGGAACACCAAAGGCGAAGGCAGUGUCCUGGGAAGUACCUGACGCUCAGGUGCGAAAGCUAGGGGAGCAAACAGG
rnacentral:rRNA from 1 species